UCCGGGGUCGUCUAAGGGCAGGACAGCGGUUUUUGGUGCCGCGAAUGGUGGUUCGAAUCCAUCCCUCGGAA
rnacentral:tRNA from 1 species